rnacentral:rRNA from 1 species
CCUGAAUAGGGUGAAGCCAGAGGAAACUCUGGUGGAGGCUCGCAGCGGUUCUGACGUGCAAAUCGAUUGUCAAAUUUGGGUAUAGGGGCGAAAGACUAAUCGAACCAUCUAGUAGCUGGUUCCUGCCGAAGUUUYCCUCAGGAUAGCAGUAACGUUUUCAGUUUUAUGAGGUAGAGCGAAUGAUUAGAGGCCUUGGGGUUGAAACAACCUUAACCUAUUCUCAAACUUUGAAUAUGUAAGAAGUCCUUGUUGCUUAGUUGAACGUGGACAUUUGAAUGUACCGUUACUAGUGGGCCAUUUUUGGUAAGCAGAACUGGCGAUGCGGGAUGAACCGAACGCGAGGUUAAGGUGCCGGAAUGCACGCUCAUCAGACWCCMCAAAAGGUGUUAGUUCAUCUAGACAGCAGGACGGUGGCCAUGGAAGUCGGAAUCCGCUAAGGAGUGUGUAACAACUCMCCUGCCGAAUGAACUAGCCCUGAAAAUGGAUGGCGCUCAAGCGUGCUACCCAUUCCUCGCCGCCCGGGUCGAUACGAUGCKCGGGCGAGUAGGCAGG